UAUAAAUGCUUUUUCAGUGUGUUUUUAAAAUUGAGUCACUUCAAUUUGGUCUGUAUCUUGCUUCUCACAACGCGUGUCUUCUUGAAAAAUUGUGGUUAAAUGAAUAUUUAAAACUGCAACCAUGGGCUUCCCUGGUGACAGUGUGGUUGAGGGUCCGCCUGCCGAUGCAGGGGACACGGGUUCGUGCCCCGGUCCGGGAAGAUCCCACAUGCCGCGGAGCGGCUGGGCCCGUGAGCCACGGCCGCUGAGCCUGCGCGUCCGGAGCCUGUGCUCCGCAACGGGAAAGGCCACAACAGUGAGAGGCCCGCGUACCGCAAAAAAAAAAAAAAAAAAAAAAGAAAGA